AAAAUUUAUGUUUUUAUUUAUUUUUACAUUAAGGAUACAAUGAACAUUUCAUCACCGCCAUUGGGGUGCAGGUGGAAAAUAUGGGGUGCAGUAAGAAACUGCCCCAUAUUUGUCCUUGACCCGACACAAACAAAAACUAAUAAUAAAUAAUCAUUUGCACUGUGUUUGGUUGGAGACAGAAGCCAGAAGCGCGUCGAUCAGCUAGCCACACAAUAAACAGGACGAUGAGGAUCUUCGGCAAACACGUUUUCCCGAGCCAGAUUAUACUUUUUGCUUCUGGGCUUUUGUUCUUUGCAUCAACAACCUAUGAUGUUCAUAGAUCCAUCAAGAACAACCAAACACCCCCUUCUCAAGAGCAAGUCAAAGCCCUUCAAGACUACAUCGAAUCUGCGCGUCGCUCCCGUUAAAUCAACGGCCUCUAUUUUGCCACGUCAUCUUAUGAACACAUGAAUUAUAAUCUGAACUUCACAUUCUUGUCAUAUUAGCAUGUUUAUUUUCACUUUAGCUUAUAAGUAAUCAGUUUUAGUUCCACUAUUUUCAGCAAAAUAAGUGGUGUUAUUUCUCAUUUUGAAUAAUCUCAAAACAGUGGGAAUCCUGUUUUUGGUUGUGACAAGGAAUUGACGAAAAAUAAGCUAAGUUCCUGUUC